rnacentral:rRNA from 1 species
CCCUACGGGGCGCAGCAGGCGCGAAAACUUUACAAUGCGGGAAACCGUGAUAAGGGAACUCCGAGUGUCCGUAAAUGCGGACUGUCCGUAUGUUUAAAAAGCAUGCGAAGAAAGGGCCGGGCAAGACCGGUGCCAGCCGCCGCGGUAAUACCGGCGGCUCGAGUGGUGGCCACUAUUACUGGGCUUAAAGCGUUCGUAGCUGGGUUGUUAAGUCUCUUGGGAAAUCUACCGGCUUAACCGAUAGGCGUCCAAGGGAUACUGGCAAUCUAGGGACCGGGAGAGGUGAGGGGUACUUCAGGGGUAGGAGUGAAAUCCUGUAAUCC